rnacentral:tRNA from 2 species
CGGGUAUUCGGCGGUCUUCGUCGACGCCACCCGGCUGGAGCCGGGAGACAGCGUGCGCAUCGCCGGCAUCCGG